CUGGAGUCCGGUUGCUGAGGGCAAACUCACUGGCGAGGAAACUUGCUUCCUCAAACUUUCAGGUUCGUUCGUUGCGUUUGGGUCCCAGUCGAAGGUAACGGGAAGCAAGCCGCUCACUGGUUGGCCCUUGCCCUCAGGUGCGUGGUGGUUGUCACGUGACAGCUGUCAGAACUCGCGAGGCGCUCGAAUUCAACGGAUGUCCCUCGUGGCUGUGGAGGGAACUUUGGGUUCCAACUUCUGUCCCAACAUGCAGCCCUACUUGGCGUUCAACACCACGCUUGUUCCUCGAGGAAAAGCCUGAGUGAAGUAUUUUAUUACCCGGCUGCCGCUGCUGGCUCCGCAGGGGACCCUAGGUACUCAUAAGAUUCUGGCAGCGACUGCCACUGGUGGCCCGGCCGGAUCAGCAGAGCACUUUGGGGUGGGAACUCCGGAGACAUCCACGAACUAAAAAGCAACUGUGAAAUUACCUAAUUCACUCCUCACACCAGAAGCUGUUACGGCAUGCUGGAGGCGAGUGGUGCCUAACUCCUACUGCAUCGUCCAGCAAAAAGAUGUUCUGCCAAACUCAGCUCUUCCUUCCUUCUGGCUUUGGCAUUCCUUCCAGUUUGAGAAAUGGAGAGAAAAGAAAGAGGAAUCAUGAUUUGGAUCCUUUGAUAGUGUUAUUAGUAGCGUUUUACAGAAGAGGAAACUGAGUCUCAUAUUCACUUACAAAGGCUACACAGAGACAGUGCCACAACUGAUUCACUCUGAAUCCAAAGCUCUUUCCACAAGAAGGCAGAAGAGAUGGUGAUGUGAUGAAAGGAGCAAAGCCUGGAGUGAUGUGCUUUGAGGAUGGAGGAAGGGGCCACAAGCCAAGGGAUAGAAGUGGCCAUCAGAAGCCGGAGAAGGGCAAGAAAAUGGACUCUUCCCUCGAAGACUCCAGAAGGAAUGAGCCCUGCUGACACCUUGACUUCAGCCAAGUGAAACUGAAUUUGAGCUACUGAUCUCCAAAACUGGCUAUUACAUGAGGAGUCAAGGCCAAGUUAUCAGCUUUGGAACCAUGCAUGUGGCUCCUGACAGAAGACCGGGACUACCCCGUGUUCCCCACGUGGGCACCCUUUAUCUCUCUGGAUGAGG